UUCCCUCGGCUCCCGCGCCCCCUCUCUCCCGGCGUCGCUGGAACGUUCAGCGGCCCGUGAUGAAUGAUCGCCUGUCACGGCUUGUUUAUUAUAACGCGGGCAAUCAAUUACACAUCCCCAACGCUGGCCGGCCCGCGGGAAAUUGAUACGCUCAGCACAAUCCAAUGUGAAAAUGGGAACUCAUUUGCCAAAUGUCUUUCUCAGGCAUGAUUACAGUGUGUUUCUUCCAACAGGACGGUUGGACUGACGGCGGUAUCACUUACUGCCUGGCUCGGGCCACCCUCCUCGAAGGUGUUAUUUAUUGCGUGACAGAGGCUAACGCAGGUUGUCAGAUUGGCAGCAAGCCCCUUUAACCGGCUGAGACUUCUCACUGGGCCCACUUUCCCAUCUUGGAGUGUGCCCUAUAAGCAGCGCACCUGGAUCAGGUGGACGACGGGCAUUGGAGGAGGCCGGCCAAUCCUCGAGCAUGUGGUCCACUGGUCUUCACCACACCUUGUAUUGUGUUAGCUUACUGACUCCGCUGGUAUGAGAACUCCAAAAAGGGAGGCACACGUUUGAUGGCAGGCACUUCUGUGUCCCCAGCGUCCCCAGCCUCCACUUGGCAUAUCCUAAGUGCUCGGUAAAUAUUUGUGGCUUUCACGGAUGGCUGAAUGAAUAGCAUAAGAGUUAAACUCAUUACCGGGGCAACCUCUGCCGAGCAGAGCGCAGCCCUGGAGAGGGGAUGUUUACAGGCAUUUCACCCCACGGCAUCCUCACAGAAAUAGCUCCUGCUCCCCCCACCCGCCCUUGCCCGGUGCUACAAAUGUUCUGUGUGCUCAGGGCAUAAAAACCGGUAACGGGCUGAACGUAUACGUCUGUCUGGUAAUUCCUGCUUAGCUUCCAAUCAGCACCCUGGGCAUAAAUCCCAGUCUCUGUCAAUGCCUCUUGCUCAUAAUCCCUACCCCACCUAGGCCGUGGGCACCUUCCUGUGCACAGGUAGCUGUGUCUUAUUGGAAUCUCAUGUUUGUUGGUAGCCCAGGAUAACCCCAAGCUCCUGCCUGCCACAACUUCCACCUGUGUUGUAAGUAUGUGACACAGAGCCAAGCCAAGUCCCAUCAUGGGGCCAAGUUGUCCCAGUAUGCCCAGCUGUAGUAACCACCUCCCUCGUCUUGCCUUCUUCUCAAUACUGGAUUUGAACUCAGGACCUUACAUAUACUGAGCAAAUAAAUACCUUACCCAAGUCAUAUACCAGCCCUCUUUUUACAUCUUAUUUGAGACAGGCCUGGCCUAUCAAGAUCCUUAUACCUGGAUCUCCAAAAUGCCCCAAAGCACAGAUUUCCUUAAAACAGGUUCUUGUUUUGUUUUGUUUUUUGUCUACCCAUCCAUUCAGACACCACCAAUGCCAAUUAUAUUUUAUGAACACUAUGUAUGGGAAUACAACAUGGAAUUCCAUCAAAGCACCUAGGUCAGGGGGAAACGUUCUAACUUCAGAUUUUAAAAUCUUAGUUUUCUUUUAUGUGUGUGGGUGUCUUGCCCGCAUGUAUGUUUGUGCACCUUAUGUGUGCCUGGUGCCCAAGAAGGCCAGAAGAGGGGUGUCAUAUCCCCCGGAAGUGGAGUUACAAAGAGUUGUAAGCCACCAUGUAGAGGCUGGGAAUCAAAAUGUGGUCCUCGGGAAGAGCAAGCAGCAAGUGCUCUUAGCUGCGAGCCAUCUCUCCAGCCCCUUAAGUUUAGAUGUUUGUUUUUUAAAAGUGAACCGGGAUGGGGAAGAUGUCUCAGCAGGUCCUUGCCGACAAUGUUGAUGAGAUGAGUUCCUCCAUGGGCCCACAUAUUAGAAGAUGAGAACUAACUCCUGUGCUGUGUCCCCUGACCUCCACAACCUGCAGGCUGGCACACUUCCAAACCAAUGACAGACAAAUAAGCAAAUCUUUAAGACAAAAGUGGAACAUUGAUUAACUUGGGGUGUAACUCGGUUGGUAGAGUAUUGGUCUCCCACAUGCAAAGCCAUGGAUUCAAUCCCCAGUACAUAUAAACCACGUGUGGUAGUGAGAGCCUGUAAUCUCAGAGCCGAAGCAAGGAUCGCCUCUUAUCACCUGCAGCUACACUGCAAGUUCGAGACCAGGGUGGGUUGGGACGAGACAGCGAGGCUGCAGAGCGUAUCUAAGUAUUUAAGCCUCGUAGGAGGAAUUCCUCUCUAUCACAGUAGUUACAUCGGCAGCUACGGUGGAAGCAUAGAGCCUCAUCCCCAACCCGGUCUAAGCCUCCACUGUCACGCAUCACUAACUGACUAAUAAACCUUACUCCUUGGCCAAGUCUGCAUCCUGCCAGUACCAGCUUCCCCACAUGAAAGAGAAGCAAGAGACAGCACUUUGGGACCCUGGGGGAACAGCCUACGUCUGCUGCUGCACAUCAACCGUUGAGCUCUGAGAGGGGCUGCCAGACAAUGGGAAAUGAAACAUUUGAGUGGUUUGGGAAAUAUUAGCAAGUGGCCCAGCGGAGAGGAACAGAGACGAGCUGACCCCUGGAGGUGGCUGGCCGGCCAGCCUCAAUGAAACCUCAAACUCAGAUUCAAUGAGAGACUGAGUUUCUAAACACAAGAACUCGCAUAAAGCAGAAUGCAGCUUCACACAUCUGUAACCCCAGCCUGCUCUGAAGUGAGAGGAGAGAAUUCCCAGAGUCAGCUGAGCUGGACUACACAGCGGCAAGCAAGAGACUCCAUCUACCUCACACAAGACGGGAGGCAAGGACUGACCCCCAAGGUUAUCCUGACUUCUACUCAGGCACCUGUACUCACAUGAACAUGCACAGGAACACACAGUCACAUGCAUAUGUACAUACCACACACACACACACACACACCUCACCCACACGCAGUUGCAGAAUCCCACCCUAUUCUAAAAUAAAUUACAAUUUCGUGUUGGAAACACAUAUGCAGCUCUGCGGCCUGCAGGUCACAGGUUGGACACACUCUGAAGGGCACGGUCAAUCCCUAGACCCAGAUGGACCAAAUUCUCAGUUUCUUCCAGGGCCUCUUCGUUGACUUUGUCUGAUAUUUCAAUAACCUCCUGCAGCGGACUGGCCAGAGAGAACAGCUCUAUUUACAAAGCAGCCUGGGCUCCCGAGGCUCCAGCAGGAUCAGGGUAAGUCAGGAACGUAGCUCAGACGGCAAAAUGCUUAGCAUGCACAAAGCCUUGGGGUUGGAGCUCAGCGUUGCAGAGACCGUGCAGUGGCACAUGCGCAUCAUCCUAGCACUGAAGACGUGGAGUCACGCAAGUCAGGAGUUCAAGAUCAUCCACAGCUAAAAUAGUCCAGUUUGAGGCCAGGCUGAGCUACCCGAGGCUCUGAUCUCAAAUUAAAGUGCUAACUUCAUUUUCCGAAUUUAGUUUCCGUUUUAUUUAGUGACAUGCCAUCAAAGGCACCGUUGUCAAGAGAACAGUUCAGAAAUGUUGACUAUUUAGUUCCAAAAAACGUCUUUGUCGAUCCCCAAAUGAAGCCUGUCUCCAUCUACAUGG